rnacentral:tRNA from 1 species
GCCCGGGUGGCGAAAUUGGUAGACGCACUAGCUUCAGGUGCUAGCGCCUUCACGGGUGUGCUGGUUCGAGUCCAGUCCCGGGCACCA